UGCCAAAACGCGGGUUCAAACCAGGGACAUUUAGAUCUUCAGUCAAAUGCUUUUGCAACUGGGGUAUUUCGCC